rnacentral:rRNA from 1 species
UACGUAGGGGGCUAGCGUUGUUCGGAAUUACUGGGCGUAAAGCGCGUGUAGGCUGCUUCGCAAGUCGGAUGUGAAAGCCCUGGGCUCAACCCAGGAAGUGCAUUCGAAACUGCAGAGCUGGAGUCCUGGAGAGGAAGGCGGAAUUCUCGGUGUAGAGGUGAAAUUCGUAGAUAUCGAGAGGAACACCGGUGGCGAAGGCGGCCUUCUGGACAGUGACUGACGCUGAGACGCGAAAGCGUGGGGAGCAAACAGG